rnacentral:rRNA from 1 species
AGUAGGGAAUUUUCGGCAAUGGGGGCAACCCUGACCGAGCAACGCCGCGUGAAUGACGAAGUACUUCGGUAUGUAAAGUUCUUUUAUUAGGGAAGAAUGACUUGUGGAAAAGCAAGUGUGACGGUACCUAAUGAAUAAGCCCCGGCUAACUAUGUGCCAGCAGCCGCGGUAAUACAUAGGGGGCAAGCGUUAUCCGGAAUUAUUGGGCGUAAAGGGUGCGUAGGCGGUUAUUUAAGUCUUUGGUGUAAGUGCAGAGCUCAACUCUGUGAUGCUAAGGAAACUGGAUAACUUGAGUGUGGUAGAGGUAAGUAGAAUUCCAUGUGUAGCGGUAAAAUGCGUAAAUAUAUGGAGGAAUACCAGUGGCGAAGGCGGCUUACUGGGCCACAACUGACGCUGAGGCACGAAAGCGUGGGGAGCAAACAGGAUUAGAUACCUUGGUAGUCCACGCCGUAAACGAUGAGUACUAAGUGUUGGAGAAAUUCAGUGCUGUAGUUAACGCAAUAAGUACUCCGCCUGAGUAGUACGUGCGCAAGCAUGAAAACUCAAAGGAAUUGACGGGACCCCGCACAAGCGGUGGAUCAUGUUGUUUAAUUCGAUGAUACGCGAAGAACCUUACCAGGUCUUGACAUCCCAUGCAAAGCUUAAGAGAUUAAGUGGAGGUUACCAUGGAGACAGGUGGUGCAUGGUUGUCGUCAGCUCGUGUCGUGAGAUGUUGGGUUAAGUCCCGCAACGAGCGCAACCCUUAUUGCUAGUUACCAUCAUUAAGUUGGGGACUCUAGCGAGACUGCCAGUGAUAAACUGGAGGAAGGUGGGGAUGACGUCAAAUCAUCAUGCCCCUUAUGACCUGGGCUACAAACGUGAUACAAUGGCUGAAACAAAGGGCAGCGAAGCAGUGAUGUGAAGCGAAACCCAAAAAAGCAGUCUCAGUUCGGAUUGAAGUCUGCAACUCGACUUCAUGAAGUCGGAAUCGCUAGUAAUCGCGAAUCAGAAUGUCGCGGUGAAUACGUUCUCGGGGUUUGUACACACCGCCCGUCAAACCACGAAAGUUGACAAUACCCAAAGCCGGUGGCCUAACUCUUUUAGAGAGGGAGCCGUUUAAGGUAGGGUUGAUGAUUGGGGUU